rnacentral:rRNA from 2 species
UACGUAGGUGGCAAGCGUUAUCCGGAAUUAUUGGGCGUAAAGCGCGCGCAGGUGGUUUCUUAAGUCUGAUGUGAAAGCCCACGGCUCAACCGUGGAGGGUCAUUGGAAACUGGGAGACUUGAGUGCAGAAGAGGAAAGUGGAAUUCCAUGUGUAGCGGUGAAAUGCGUAGAGAUAUGGAGGAACACCAGUGGCGAAGGCGACUUUCUGGUCUGUAACUGACACUGAGGCGCGAAAGCGUGGGGAGCGAACAGG